AACGUAGGAGGCAAGCGUUAUCCGGAGUUACUGGGCGUAAAGCGCGUGUAGGCGGUCAGGAAGGUCGGAUGUGAAAGCUCCCAGGCUAAACCGGGAGAGGUCAUUCGAAACCACCCGACUAGUGUGUGGCAGAGGGGUACGGAAUUCCGGGUGUAGUGGUGAAAUGCGCAGAUAUCCGGAGGAACACCAGAGGCGAAGGCGGUACCCUGGGCCAUUACAGACGCUGAGACGCGAAAGCAUGGGGAGCGAACGGG
rnacentral:rRNA from 1 species